UACAGAGGUGCCAAGCGUUAGGCGGAAUCACUGGGCUUAAAGCGCGUGUAGGCGGGUCGUUAAGUGUCCGAGUGAAAUCCCACGGCUCAACCGUGGAACUGCCGGGCAUACUGGCGAUCUUGAGGCAUUCAGGGGCGAGCGGAACAAAUGGUGGAGCGGUGAAAUGCGUAGAGAUUAGGAAGAACACCGGUGGCGAAAGCGCCUUGCUGGGUCUGCACUGACACUGAGGGACGAAAGCCAGGGGAGCGAAAGGG
rnacentral:rRNA from 1 species